rnacentral:rRNA from 1 species
AUUGAACGCUGGCGGCAGGCCUAACACAUGCAAGUCGCGCGAGCGGCGGACGGGUGAGUCAUGUAUGGGGACUGCCCGAUAGAGGUGGCUAACUACUGGACACGGUAGUUAAUACCGCAUACUAUCUGCUCACCCAUAUGGGAUUAGCUAGUAGGUGAGGUAAUGGCUCAACUAGACGACGAUCCCUAGCUGGUCUGAGUGGAUGAUCAGACAAACGGGGACUGAGACACGGCCCAUGCUCCUACGGAGGCAGCAGUGGGGAAUAGUGAACAAUGGGCUCAAGCCUGAUGCAGCCAUGCCGCGUGUAUGAAGAAGGCCCUAUGGUUGUAAAGUACUUUCAGUCGGGAGGCGUUACCGACAGAAUAAGCACGGGCUGACUCCGUACCAGAAGCCGCGGUAAUAC